rnacentral:rRNA from 1 species
UACGAGGGGGGCUAGCGUUGCUCGGAAUCACUGGGCGUAAAGCGCACGUAGGCGGCUUUCUAAGUCAGGGGUGAAAUCCUGGAGCUCAACUCCAGAACUGCCUUUGAUACUGGAGAGCUUGAGUCCGGAAGAGGUGAGUGGAACUCCGAGUGUAGAGGUGAAAUUCGUAGAUAUUCGGAAGAACACCAGUGGCGAAGGCGGCUCACUGGUCCGGUACUGACGCUGAUGUGCGAAAGCGUGGGGAGCAAACAGGGAUUAAGAAACCC